UCAGUGUCUGUUCAGUUCUUUGCUGUUGUUUUGGAUUGUGGUUUGUUACUGCAUCUGAGUAAUUUAACCAAAUUAUCUGGUCAUUUUUACGUUGAGUCGAGGAACUGCUCCUCCGUACUCUAUCUGUUGAUAGUACUUUCGCGAAAGGACGCUUUAUUACUUGUGUUGUGUGUAUGUACGUGCUUUAAAAUGACGAGUAUGCAAUGCAUCAAUUGCAACGUUCGCUUGUCGCGAAUAUGAAGGCACGCUUUAUCCGAUGAGAGUGAAGAUAUCGUCAAUACUAUUCGGCUGUGGACAUAUCCUAGAGAUAUAACACCUGCUGACCAUGUUUGCCGCACGGAACAAAUAUUUGAAUGAUCUGCAAGUAGUUGUUCUGGGUCUGGGUAUUUCUGCACAUGAGUUUCUAUGUUGAUGAAAUAAUACUAAGAAUAGAUUAAAUAAUUAUAAGAACAAUAAAAUAGAUGUAUAUUCCUACAAAAACAAA
rnacentral:lncRNA from 1 species